rnacentral:ribozyme from 1 species
UGCCCAGCAACUCCUAUCUUUACCUCCACGCGGUACCGGCCGGAAACUAUGAGCAACCUUAGGGAAGAUCGGGUAACCAACCCCGGUGGGAACUUUGGUCGUAGGCUGACAGGGAAGG